UGAAAAGGAAGAUUAUUAGGCUUCACUUGAGUAAAAAAUUGAGAUAAUGCAUUAUGAGUAUGAGUUUUAAGAAAAGAAAAAAAAAAGAAACAAAGAAAAAAGAUGAUUAUGACAUCAUGCAUAUGAGACAUUUAAAUGAAUCUAAAAUCAAUGAAAAAAAAGUCUUCUCUUGAAAAUGGCUUUUCAAUGCAAGUAUCCAUACUUGAAAUAAAAAAUGGCUAUCUUUCAAAUUAUUUUCAUGA
rnacentral:lncRNA from 1 species